rnacentral:lncRNA from 1 species
GCCGCACCUUAACAAUGAAUCAUUUUAAGUCUUAUGAUUGAGGCUGUGAGACGUUUAGGGGAGUCAGGGAAAUCCUUGUCAUUUCAGACGCUAGAAUACACAUAUGGGCUGCCUGAGGAAGCGAAGCAGAGUGAAUUGCUGAACACUUGGGAGAGAUGUUCUGAGGAUACGCAGAGGAUGAGCAGGGAUGAUAUUCUCCUAGUUGUUCCCAUGGUGGACGGCAAAUGAUUGUUGAAAGGAUGAAUUAAAUAUUGCUUGGAGUAAGUGCCAAUUCAUUGAAAUUUGAAAAUAUAUAUUUUUUUCUUUAUAGAGAAUUCUGCUUAA